CUCCUUUAGUAUUUUCAGAUGUCUCCAUUUUACUGUCAUCAUGAACUCUGCAGGCUUGGAUAACUCUGCUAGCACCCUCACAGUGCUGCAGAGGUCCUUAGGGAUAGGCUGCCGAAGAACCUUGAUGUAAUGAGCAUAAAGCAGUCCCACGCCAUGCCCUGGGCACUUUGAAGCCUGGAGCUAUUGCUGACCCUUUUUAGUGCUGAGAAUCUGCUUCUCCAGCCUACAGAGCAAAGUUUGCUUCUACAGCCUGAAGAUCUGCAUUUGGUGCUAAAAACAGAGAGGGACAAGUCACAGUUAAAUUCUGCUGGCUUGACAGCAUUAGAAGAAAUCUCUGAUGAUGUCUUCAGCCACUCCAGCCACACCUACAAGUGUAUCUGUCUGCUCUUCUUCCCUCAUCAGUGCACUUACCCAGACUGU
ensembl:lncRNA